AUGUCACACGAUUCAAGGCAAGGAGUAAGGGAGUUCAUUGCCGAGGUGGUGAGCAUUGGUCGUCUUCGACACCAAAAUAUCACACAAUUGUUAGGCUACUGCAGACGAAAGGAUGAGCUUCUCCUGAUUUAUGAUUACAUGAAAAAUGGUAGUCUUGAAAAGUAUCUACAUAGUAGAAAUAGCCCAACUUUGUGUUGGUCUCAGAGGUAUUCUAUCAUCAAAGGUGUGGCAUCAAGCUUACUGUAUCUACAUGAGGAAUGGGAGCAGGUUGUCAUUCACCGAGAUAUAAAGGCAAACAAUGUGCUAUUGGAUAGUAAGAUGAAUGGACGGUUAGGCGAUUUUGGUUUGGCAAGGAUAUAUGACUAUGAAAACACCGCUGAAACCACCCAUGUGGCUGGCACCAUGGGAUAUCUUGCGCCUGAACUCUCACGCAAGGGGAGGCCAACACCCUUCUCCGAUGUGUAA
rnacentral:rRNA from 1 species